GGGGAAUCUUGCGCAAUGGGCGAAAGCCUGACGCAGCAACGCCGCGUGCGGGAUGAAGGCCUUCGGGUUGUAAACCGCUUUCAGCAGGGACGAAAUUGACGGUACCUGCAGAAGAAGCCCCGGCCAACUACGUGCCAGCAGCCGCGGUAACACGUAGGGGGCGAGCGUUGUCCGGAUUUAUUGGGCGUAAAGAGCUCGUAGGCGGCUUUGUCAGUCGGGUGUGAAACCUCCAGGCUCAACCUGGAGCCGCCAUCCGAUACUGCAAUGGCUAGAGUCCGGUAGGGGAGCAUGGAACUCCUGGUGUAGCGGUGAAAUGCGCAGAUAUCAGGAAGAACACCAGUGGCGAAGGCGGUGCUCUGGGCCGGAACUGACGCUGAGGAGCGAAAGCGUGGGUAGCGAAC
rnacentral:rRNA from 1 species